UACGUAGGGUGCAAGCGUUAAUCGGAAUUACUGGGCGUAAAGCGUGCGCAGGCGGCUAUGCAAGACAGAUGUGAAAUCCCCGGGCUUAACCUGGGAACUGCAUUUGUGACUGCAUGACUAGAGUACGGUAGAGGGGGGAUGGAAUUCCGCGUGUAGCAGUGAAAUGCGUAGAUAUGCGGAGGAACACCGAUGGCGAAGGCAAUCCCCUGGACCUGUACUGACGCUCAUGCACGAAAGCGU
rnacentral:rRNA from 1 species